rnacentral:rRNA from 1 species
UACGUAGGGUGCAAGCGUUGUCCGGAAUUAUUGGGCGUAAAGAGCUCGUAGGUGGCGUGUCGCGUCUGCCGUGAAAGCCCAUGGCUUAACUGUGGGUCUGCGGUGGAUACGGGCAGGCUGGAGGCUGGUAGGGGCAAGCGGAAUUCCUGGUGUAGCGGUGAAAUGCGCAGAUAUCAGGAGGAACACCGGUGGCGAAGGCGGCUUGCUGGGCCAGUUCUGACGCUGAGGAGCGAAAGCGUGGGGAGCGAACAGG